UGGGGAAUUUUGGACAAUGGGCGAAAGCCUGAUCCAGCAAUGCCGCGUGUGUGAAGAAGGCCUUCGGGUUGUAAAGCACUUUUGUCCGGAAAGAAAUCCUUGGCUCUAAUACAGUCGGGGGAUGACGGUACCGGAAGAAUAAGCACCGGCUAACUACGUGCCAGCAGCCGCGGUAAUACGUAGGGUGCAAGCGUUAAUCGGAAUUACUGGGCGUAAAGCGCGCAGGCGGUUUGCUAAGACCGAUGUGAAAUCCCCGGGCUCAACCUGGGAACUGCAUUGGUGACUGGCAGGCUAGAGUAUGGCAGAGGGGGGUAGAAUUCCACGUGUAGCAGUGAAAUGCGUAGAGAUGUGGAGGAAUACCGAUGGCGAAGGCAGCCCCCUGGGCCAAUACUGACGCUCAUGCACGAAAGCGUGGGGAGCAAACAGGAUUAGAUACCCUGGUAGUCCACGCCCUAAACGAUGUCAACUAGUUGUUGGGGAUUCAUUUCCUUAGUAACGUAGCUAACGCGUGAAGUUGACCGCCUGGGGGAGUACGGUCGCAAGAUUAAAACUCAAAUGAAUUGACGGGGUCAUAGCUGUUUCCU
rnacentral:rRNA from 1 species